rnacentral:rRNA from 1 species
UACAGAGGUCUCAAGCGUUGUUCGGAUUCAUUGGGCGUAAAGGGUGCGUAGGCGGCGCGGUAAGUCGGGUGUGAAAUUUCGAGGCUUAACUUCGAAACUGCAUUCGAUACUGCCGUGCUUGAGGACUGGAGAGGAGACUGGAAUUUACGGUGUAGCGGUGAAAUGCGUAGAUAUCGUAAGGAAGACCAGUGGCGAAGGCGGGUCUCUGGACAGUUCCUGACGCCGAGGCACGAAGGCCAGGGAGCAAACGGG